rnacentral:lncRNA from 1 species
GGUAGGUUUGCUGUCCGCGACAUGAGGCAGACAGUUGCUGUUGGAGUCAUCAAGAGUGUGGAGAAGAAGGACCCGACCGGCGCCAAGGUUACCAAGGCAGCUGCCAAAAAGAAAUGAUGCAACCUGUCGUUAAUCCUGUAUCUGCUUUUGCAAUACCUGACUUGUCACUCCAUCCCGAAGUUUUGUAUGCGGUUGUUACUGUUAUUGUGUACUGUUAAGCUCUGCUGCGGCGUGCCCUGUUGUUUGGGUAGCGUCAACGUCGAGCGCCACUUGCGGGUGUGCCUUUGUCUGCUAUCAGUAGCGGCAAAAAUUGAAAGCUCUCGAGACUUAUGUCCCUUUUGGGCGCCGUUGAACUGAUUAUUUUAAAGUCUGCCCACAUUUUUCUACGACAGGUUCACUCGUGAGGAUAGAGCGACAGAAGUAUGAAAAUAGAAUAGGGUAGCAGCGAGACGAGCAUCCCUUAUGCAACUCCUGAAACGCACGAUGUGUAUUUUGCACGCUGUGUAUUUUGAAAUAUGAAGUUAGAUGAGUGGGAUAGAUGUACCUACAGAGGUGACCGGGAGGGUGGAACCGUUGCCGACGACGAUGGAGGAAGGAUGUGAUAGGUGGGGUGGAUGGGAGUGGAGGGGGUAGUGUGAAAGGAGGCUCCGGAGUCAACCACCCAAUCGGUGGUGGUUCGGGGAGGUGGUGGUGACGAAGGUGCGGUGUGAGCGGAGAGGGCCAAAAAGGUGCCCCGAUAGAGACACACGGAAGGGAGGGAGAUGGCAUGGGCUCAACCGCUAGGGAGGCGAUCGUAGCACGUGGGAAGACAAGCGGUCCAGGCACGUGACGGCCCGCCUGAGGGUGGACCUCGACGCAGUCCCGAAGGAUAGGGUUCCAGACUGGAUCGAAGGACACGAACAUGCCCCGGAUGAGGUGGCCGUCGUGGAGGAGAACACGUACAGUCACGAGAGCGGCAUGUGAGGUAAGGCUCAUGUGUGGCGGGGGAGCAGCAUGGGGCGGCCCGAGGCCGGGGAUGUAGGGGGCCCCUCCAUGGGCGAGGCUGCUGCUGAUCGCAGCAGGGGCGAUGGGGAGGUGCAUGCCAGGGCUGGUGGUGGCAGCGGUUAUGUCCAUGGCAGCCAGCAUAGCCGCAGUGGUGGCGGCGGUGGACGCGUCCAUCGGGGCGCCGACUGGAGGACGCCGCAGCAGGGGCUCCGCAGGACGGGUGGGGCGCGGCUCUGCUGGCUUCCAGGGGGCGUCGACGGCCGGAGACGAACAGGUGCCGCGUCCUGUCGGCUGCGUCAUGGUCCGGUCGGGGAGGCGAGGGGCGUGCGUGCUGGCGGCGUUGGGCGCAGGUCGCGGAGUGCGGGGCUCGGGUGCAGGGCUGCAGGGGCACUCGGGUCGCCUGGAUGCGCGCUGCACGGUCGCGGGCCGCGACGGUCGCUGGAGGAAGACGAGCAGCCGAGCAGCAGGUGCGCCGUGGGCGGCUGGGCGCGUGGCCGGCUUGCCGCGUCGUCCGCUUGGACGACUGGACGCAGGAGGACGCAGGACGCCUGGCCGCCUGGGAUCUGCUCGACAGACGGCAGCUCGAGCGCAGGAACCAGGAACGGGCGAACGGCCGAACCGAACGGAGGAAGAGUGGAAGACGCAGGGAGCAGGCAGCGUCGCAGCGGAGCAGGGGGCUGGGGGUGGACGGCGGAGCAGGGCUGCAGGGGACCGCGGUCCGCGGAGGGAGAUGCGACUGCCCUGGUGGCGCUCGGCGGUGGGGAGAGGGGAAGCCGGCGGCUGGCGGCUGAGAGGGAGGAGGCUGGAAAAAAACUAAUCUGAUACCAUAAUGGAAUGUGAACCCAUAACCCUAAUCAGAGUUGGGUGAGAUGUAUUAAUAGACUUGUGUAAUUGGGCCUGGCCCAUUGCACAAGGGGUGAUAUGGUAAUUACAUGGGGAAGACCCCAAACCCUAGACGAGAGCUCUAGGUAUUCUAACAUGGAGAAGAAGGACCCGACCGGCGCCAAGGUUACCAAGGCAGCUGCCAAAAAGAAAUGAUGCAACCUGUCGUUAAUCCUGUAUCUGCUUUUGCAAUACCUGACUUGUCACUCCAUCCCGAAGUUUUGUAUGCGGUUGUUACUGUUAUUGUGUACUGUUAAGCUCUGCUGCGGCGUGCCCUGUUGUUUGGGUAGCGUCAACGUCGAGCGCCACUUGCGGGUGUGCCUUUGUCUGCUAUCAGUAGCGGCAAAAAUUGAAAGCUCUCGAGACUUAUGUCCCUUUUGGGCGCCGUUGAACUGAUUAUUUUAAAGUCUGCCCACAUUUUUCUACGAUAGGUUCACUCGUGAGGAUAGAGCGACAGAAGUAUGAAAAUAGAAUAAGG